AUGGACCACGCCGUGCGCUGGGGUUCCAAGCUUGUGCGCCAUCUGCAUCCAGCGGACGACUGCUCGCCACGGAUCGCCAGCC
rnacentral:sRNA from 1 species